rnacentral:lncRNA from 1 species
UUUUUCUUUCCACUUAUUUUACCACUUCCUUAUUCUUUUCCAUCACAAAUAACAUUUUUCUAACUACUUAGUUCUUCUCAAACCAAGCAAUUAUAGAAGAAAAAAUAUGUUAAGUUUUUUAUGACAAACUUAACUUUUAUAUCUUAAAUCACUUUUAUAUUUUCUCACAUGUUAAGUUUCACUAUGAAUUAGUAUACUGUUCACUUCCUUCUGGUUAUAGUAUAGCCAUUCUUUA